rnacentral:RNase_P_RNA from 1 species
GCUACAAGCCGGGCUAUCGCUUUCUCGCCUUAGGCGGGAGGGAGGAAAGUCCGGACAGCAUAGAGCAAUGCACCGGUGAAGAGCCGGGCCCCGCUCCACGGAUCGGGGACAGACAGUGCCACAGAAAAUAACUGUCCCGCCUACCGGCGGGAUGAGGGUGAAAAUGUGAGGUAAGAGCUCACGGCUUAUAAUGGUAACAUUAUUCGCGGGUAAACCUUGCAUGCUGAAAUGCCACAUAUAGUACCGGUAAGAGCUGCUCGCUCGGGUCCCGGGUAACCGGGUGCGGUACGGGGUAGGCAGAUUGAUCCCAACAGCAAUGUUGAGGACAGAUAAAUGAUAGUCUUAUUCGCCUUGCUUAGGCUUCGGCGGACGAAACAAAAUCCGGCUUACAGGCUUGUAGCUUCU